UUAUUACUGCUGCAUCAAUGUGAAUGUGUAAGAAGCAUUUUGCUGUUGUAGCUGGAGCUACUUUUAAAUACUUUAUAAAAUUAUCUGGUUCAGUCACGUGGUUCCCAACCUCGUCGUAAGAUGGUUAGUCGGGUAGAAACGAAGGAAAAAUAAACUGUGAUACACACAUUUUCAUGAAUUUUUCGAGACUUUUUUUCAAAUCUUUAGUGAGAUAUUGGAUAAUUUUACCUCUUUGGGCCUUAAACAAUUAUUUAAAUGAAACCAUCUGAGAAGUUCAGAGGGGAAACGUCUCUUUGGUGGAACUGCAAACAACUCAAACACAUCUGAAACAUGACAACUAGACACUGUUGGGAACUGCUGCUUUCAUCUUUAACAACACACUGUGUCGCAUUAACUUAUCAUAGAUUUUUUUUUAUGUAAAAUUGUAAUCUGUAAAGUAACUACAGCUAUCAGUAGAAUAGAAGUAUACAGAAGGACAAAAUGGAAAUACUUUCUUUCCUUCAAUGACCUUGAGGAGGUGAUUCACGCCUUUAUCUCGCUUUGACUAUUGCAGCAGCCUUGACUCAGCCAGUCUCUGCUUUCUCGCCUCCAGCUGCCCGGCUCUCAACAGGCACACGUGUGACCACAUCACGCCCAUUUUGGCCUCUCUGCGCCUCUCCGUCUCGUUUUAGAAUUGAUUUUAAGAUCUUAUUGUUUUGUUUUUAAGUCAAUGCGUCGGCGCCUCCUUACCUCGCCGAUCUUUUAUCUCCCUCGAGAUCACUCUGGUCUGCUGACCAGAUGCAGGUCCAGAUUAAAGCACAGGGGAGGUCGGGCCUUUGCUGUCGCUGCUCCUAAAUUAUGGAACAGCCUACCGCUCCACAUCUGGACCUCACCUACAGUGGACACUUUUAAAACUGGGCCUCUGCAGUCGGGGUUCCUCUUUCCUCGCUCCUUCCUCUCUUGGCUCCAACCUCCGCUGCAGGUCUGCUGAGCCAACUCUUCUGCUAAAACUCUGGUGACUUGGGCUUAGGCUGUCACUUCUGCCAACAGGAAACACUUUUAGCUUGUGGAGGCUCUCUUGGAGGUAUUGAUCCUCUCACUACUGUGUCCCUAGAGCACCUAAACCAGAACUUUACAAAUACAUUGCCAACUUCGGCUUUUGUCUGCUGUAGAGAAAACACACAAUUGACAAAACCAUUAAAAGUGAGUUUGUUCAUACCCUGCAGCUUUAGCCCACAUACUUUGAGCAAUCAAAAAUUGCAGAUGUUUAAGACAUUUAAAAACUGUUUCAAUAAGGAAAAAAGACCAAAAAUAAUGAAAAUGUACUAAAAUUUAAUCAUUCAUAAAAGCUGGAAAAUCAUCUGUGACAGCAAUAUUAGAGUUGGUUUAGUACAAUAUAUUUUCAGCCUCAAGACAAAAUCAGAACGCACCAUUCCCCCCCCCAUCAGUCUAUAAAAUACUAAUUUCCUUAGCUUUAUUAUGCAAAAAUGGAAGUAGAAUAUAUUAUGGGAAAUAUGGAAGGCUUGCAGCUUUCAAUAUAAAACAAAGUCACUUAGGAAAGAUGUUAUCUCAUCAAUACACAUCCUUGUAAGUAGGAGCGAGAAACCUAUGAACAAUGAUGCAUCUUUGUUGACACUGUUAGUGCAGAAAUGUAUGAGAAGGCCAACAUUUCACAUGGUUUGUUUUGCAAGCGUAUUGUCACAAUAUGCCAGACUAAUGUUACUUUUAAUAAAACAUUUUAGUUCCCAUAUAGGGAUUUAAACCCAUGGUCUCGUCUUUUACACUGAUAUUUCCAGAAGAAAGACACCUUGGAGAAGUAAAACAAAAAACAUAAACAGAGCUGUCAUCAGGCUGACAAUAAACAACAACAACAAAAAAAAAAAAAAA